GACGUAGGGCGCGAGCGUUGUCCGGAUUUAUUGGGCGUAAAGAGCUCGUAGGCGGCUCGUUGCGUCGGCUGUGAAAACCCGCAGCUCAACUGUGGGCUUGCAGCCGAUACGGGCGGGCUGGAGUUCGGUAGGGGAGACGUGGAAUUCCUGGUGUAGCGGUGGAAUGCGCAGAUAUCAGGAGGAACACCGGUGGCGAAGGCGGGUCUCUGGGCAGUAACUGACGCUGAGGAGCGAAAGCGUGGGGAGCGAACAGG
rnacentral:rRNA from 1 species